AUGGGUUUCACAUAACAAGUUCGUUUUGAAAUUGUUUAAGGCUUUUGAUUGAUUAAUUUUGUGAAAGAAUAUACAUUUAGGCUUUUGACAUGACAUGAUAUAUUAAUUCCUUGAAUUUUGGAAGAGGAGAGGCUGAUUUAAACUCCAUGCUGGCCUGGCGGCUGGCCUCAAUGUCUGUCCGCUAUGUGCAAUGAUUUACUGAUGCUUGCGUGCGGUAUAUAUAGAUGGACUAACCCUAGUUAGUACUUACCUUACCUAGUGGACUGGUACAAGCUAUGGAGGUCAUCUCUUCAAUUUUCAAUUUAUAUAUGAAAAAUUAUUAAUUUUAUUCCUUUAUGUAGAUUCUAGAGCUUUAGAGGUCUUAAUUAAAAGGUACAUAUUAACCGAAGGAUAAUAAGGCUCAGCGGAAGAAACAAUUAGCCAGGCAGGCCGGCAGGCAGGCAGGUAAUACAAGUUGACAUCUCGUAGUAGCAAAACAAUCAGGGAAUUAAGACUCGAGGCGGAGUUUGCCGAAUUAUAUCCAUCCGACAGUCCGACUCCAAAAGCAAGCGAGCGAGAGAGAGAGGGAAGUAAGAAUGAGCAAAUUAUCGGCAGAUGAAGCAGCUGGAAAUUAUGUUAGCGAGAAUGAUAUGAUGAAAUUGCCAAUAUCAUCAUCACCAUCGUCACCAUCAUCCAACGGUGGAAAAGGAUCAUCAGGCUGCAGUAACCGAGCGUUGGUGGUGAAGAGGAUUCUAAGGGCGACGUUGCUGUUUGUGGCAGCCACUGUGGGUUGCUUUAUCAUCUCCGGAUUUCUGCUCGGAUCCUAUUAUGACAACGGUUUGUCUUCUCAUCAGGCCAGUACUCUCUCUCUCUCUCUCUCUCUCUCUCUCAUGUUCUAUUUUGCGUUCAUCCGAAGGCUUGUUAUUUUAGUUCAUAAUUAAUGCCGGCAUAUUCCAACAGCAGCAUGUUUUAUUUAUUAGUUUUUCUGAUAACGUUCGAUUACAGAUAUAAAAAAUCAAAGUGGUGGUAAUUACUUGUAGACUCUUGGAGCAAAUUAGGUAAAACAAUAUAUUUUUGUUGUAUGCUAGCUAAUCUGAAAUCAAUAUAUACAUAAUUAUAAAGGAUUUGGCACUCAGAUAAUUAUGUUUAUCGAUAUAUGUUUCAUAAUCUUCAAUGGCGAAGAGAGAGAGAGAAGUCAAUUUGCGUUUCUGGAAUUCUAAUAAUACUUGUCCAAAUAGUAGACUUUUUGUUUCUGUUUGCUCACAUUAAUCAAAGUUUUAAGAUCAUUACCUUUCGCUCUACGCAUCGAUCCAUGCCAAUUUUUGUUUUCUCAACCAAUUUAAUUCGGAUUUUACCCAUAUUUUAUAAUUAGCUAUCUCUCUUUGUAUAUACUACUUUUCUUUUUUAUCCUGUAAUUGUGGAUGCUACAUGACUCAAAAACGGGUUAAUGCUUUUACACAUGUAAUGGCUGUCCUUGUCGUGUGUACUGGCACACUUACUCCCCUCCGGGUCGGGGCCCAAUGAAAAAUCUUGGGUCAAGUUGCCGUACCACCGGGUAUGCUCGACCGUUCUCACAUGGUUAUGAAAACCUGUAUAAUUUUAUCUCACCUAACCUGAUUGAUCUCAUAUGUGUUUGAGUUGCUCUGUACGAAAAACCUUAUCG
rnacentral:sRNA from 1 species